rnacentral:rRNA from 1 species
UACAGAGGUCUCAAGCGUUGUUCGGAUUCAUUGGGCGUAAAGGGUGCGUAGGCGGCGCGGUAAGUCGGGUGUGAAAUCUUGGAGCUUAACUCCGAAACUGCAUUCGAUACUGCCGUGCUUGAGGACUGGAGAGGAGACUGGAAUUUACGGUGUAGCGGUGAAAUGCGUAGAUAUCGUAAGGAAGACCAGUGGCGAAGGCGGGUCACUGGACAGUUCCUGACGCUGAGGCACGAAGGCCAGGGGAGCAAACGGG